rnacentral:lncRNA from 1 species
UUCGCUCCAUAAGAAAUAGCUGUUGCAUCAGUAAGUUCCUGACCAUCUUGACCAUAAAGACAGAGAACUUUCAGAUAGCAUCAUGUGCCCUCUGCAGCCCAUUCCCCCUACCGCCACCAGACGCUAGGCACUGCAUGGGAACAGAAGAUAUAGACAGGAAAUGCCCAAGGAACCGUUCUCUGGAUAAGAAUCUGCCUACCGUUGAGUUUUCAAUAGAGGAGAAACAGUAAUGCCCUUUGGGUCUGGAUCUUUCUGUUUGAUACCAGCAGUGGGCAGCAGCAAGGUAUCUAAAGUCUUCAGAGGGUUCCCUGCGUCGAUGGCUUCAUUGAUGUACCCGAGAACUACCAUUCCUGCAGAGAGAGGAGCAAGGGUUCUAAGUCACGGCACCGUACCCACUUCUCCAUCGUGCUACGGGCUCCAAGGAGCUGAAGAUAGACGCGGUGCUGCUGGAGGUAAAGCUGGGACACAGCGUUCUGUAUGUUUACUCUGUGCUGUUCCUUGUACUGCCUCACAGUACAGGCAAUCAUUAAGGUACAUGAAGACCAGGAACAAGCCUUGUCCUGACGCCAUAACCUCUCGGUGGAUCCGCACAUG